GGUUUAGCUGCCAAUUCUAGGGUAUUAUGAGGCAACACUGCGACAGAUCGAGUAAUGAAGUAAUACAAAAAGGACAAAAAGAAAUAGAUUACUACAUUACUAAAUGAUAGAAAUUGUAAUGUUUCCUAGCCAGAGAUUUGCAAUAAAAUCUUUAAUUGAAUAAUUUCUUAUUUGUAUGUAUUAUCACAAUUCUUUAAAGCGGG
rnacentral:lncRNA from 1 species